AGCAGUAGCCGCGGUAAUACAGAGGAUGCAAGCGUUAUCCGGAAUGAUUGGGCGUAAAGCGUCUGUAGGUGGCUUUUCAAGUCCGCCGUCAAAUCCCAGGGCUCAACCCUGGACAGGCGGUGGAAACUACCAAGCUGGAGUACGGCAGGGGCAGAGGGAGUUUCCGGUGGAGCGGUGAAAUGCAUUGAGAUCGGAAUGAACACCAACGGCGAAAGCACUCUGCUGGGCCGACACUGACACUGAGAGACGAAAGCUAGGGGAGCAAAUGGGAUUAGAUACCCGGGUAGUCCCUGUCUCUUAUAC
rnacentral:rRNA from 1 species